CCUGCUGCUGGCCGGGGCAUGUCACGACAGGAGGAGUUAUAUCGCGAUAGGAGGGGUUAUAUCGCGAUAGGAAGGGGUUAUAUAGCGACAGGAGGGGGUUAUAUCGUGAUAGGAGGGGUUAUAUCGUGACAGGAGGGGAUUAUAUAGCGACAGGAGGGGGUUAUAUAGCGACAGGAGGGGGUUAUAUCUUGAUAGGAGGGGUUAUAUCGUGACAGGAGGGGUGUUAUAUAACGACAGGAGGGGUUAUAUCACGACAGGAAGGGUCAUAUUGCAACAGGAAGGGGUUAUAUCAUGACAGGAAGGGGUUAUAUCGUGACAGGAGGGGUUAUAUCGCGACAGGAGGGCAUUUUGGGGGAGCCUUUAUGCGCCCCCAUUGAACCGUUUAGACGAAAACCCGACCCAAAACCAGAGGCGUCCCCAAAAACCAAGUCAGCCAGUGCCCCCCCCCCUCCCCUAAAUUCCCCUUAAUUUCCCUCUAUUUUGGGGCAUUUCGCUUAAAAAAAAACUUAAAAUGAGCUCCGAGGGGCUCCGCAGCCAGCCAAACUGCGGGAAAAAGCCCCAAAAAUAUCCCAAAGCGGCCCCGACCCCCCCCCCAAAAAAAUGUGCCGCUGUUCUUGGGGUCGGCGCGGCCCCCCCCAAACCCUGCCCCCUUGUUUACCCCCAGAUUUGAUGAGAUUUGAUAAUAAUUUGAUGAAAUUUGAUGAUAUUUGAUAUUUGAUGAUAUUUGGUGAUAUUUGGUGAUAAUUUGAUGAAAUUUGAUAAAAUUUGAGCUAAUUUUUUGAGCCCCUCACCCCCAGAGCCGCGUGCAAUAAAGGCGCCCGCUGCCACACCCGGUGCUGUACUUUAACAGAUUCUGCGAGUUCUUACCCCAAAACGACGGGCUUACCGGGCUCAACCCCAGAGGCUCCGACCCAGCUGCAAAACGCGGAAAAUGGGAAAAGCGAAGAAUUGACCCCAAAAUGACACCCGCGGCUCCUCAACCAGCAGGGCCAGAGAAGGACCUGGUCCCUGGGGGUACUGGGAGCACUGGGCUACACACACGAGGCUUACUGGGAGCACUGGGCCCCACAUACAGGGGUUACUGGGAGCACUGGGCUACACACACCAGGCUUACUGGGAGCACUGGGCCCCACAUACAGGGGUUACUGGGAGCACUGGGCCGUACUGGGAGCACUGGGCCCCACAUACU
rnacentral:lncRNA from 1 species